rnacentral:rRNA from 1 species
AGAGUUUGAUCAUGGCUCAGAACGAACGCUGGCGGCAGGCUUAACACAUGCAAGUCGAACGAUGCUUUCGGGCAUAGUGGCGCACGGGUGCGUAACGCGUGGGAAUCUGCCCUUGGGUUCGGAAUAACAGUUAGAAAUGACUGCUAAUACCGGAUGAUGACGUAAGUCCAAAGAUUUAUCGCCCAGGGAUGAGCCCGCGUGAGAUUAGGUAGUUGGUGGGGUAAAGGCCUACCAAGCCGACGAUCUCUAGCUGGUCUGAGAGGAUGAUCAGCCACACUGGGACUGAGACACGGCCCAGACCCCUACGGGAGGCAGCAGUGGGGAAUCUUGCGCAAGGGGCGAAAGCCUGACGCAGCCAUGCCGCGUGAAUGACGAAGGUCUUAGGAUUGUAAAAUUCUUUCAGCGGGGACGAUAAUGACGGGACCCGCAGAAGAAGCCCCGGCGAACUUAGUGCCAGCAGCCGCGUAAUUC